UGGAACAGAUAGGAAGCUUUGAAGAUAUAU
rnacentral:piRNA from 1 species